GUUAUCAUUCGACUUUGCCACGGCAGGAAUUGGAUCUGGAGAUUGUGCUGGGUUUGGACCUGUAGGAACUUUCCUUUUGAUUUCGUGAACGAAAUUGUAAUGUUUCGACCUUGCCACAAUUGGAAUUGGAUCUGGCGAUUGAGCUGGGUUUGGACCUGUAGGAACUUUUCUUUUGACUUCAUGGUCAAAUCUAUAACCGUUUGACCUAGCCAUUAUGGGAAUUGGAUCGGGAGAUUGUGCUGGGUUUGGACCUGUAGGAACCUUCCUUUUGAUUUCGUGAAUGAAGUUGAAAUGAUUCGACCUUGCCACAAUUGGAAUUGGAUCUGGCGAUUGAGCUGGGUUUGGACCUGUAGGAACUUUCCUUUUGAUUUCAAGGUCAAAUUUAUAACCGUUUGACUUAGCCAUUAUGGGAAUUGGAUCGGGAGAUUGUGCUGGGUUUGGACCUGUAGGAACUUUCCUUUUGAUUUCGUGAAUGAAACUGUUAUCAUUCGACUUUGCCACGGCAGGAAUUGGAUCUGGAGAUUGUGCUGGGUUUGGACCUGUAGGAACUUUCCUUUUGAUUUCGUGAACGAAAUUGUAAUGUUUCGACCUUGCCACAAUUGGAAUUGGAUCUGGCGAUUGAGCUGGGUUUGGACCUGUAGGUACUUUUCUUUUGACUUCAUGGUCAAAUGUAUAACCGUUUGACCUAGCCAUUAUGGGAAUUGGACCAGGAGAUUGUGCUGGGUUUGGACCUGUAGGAACCUUCCUUUUGAUUUCGUGAAUGAAGUUGAAAUAAUUCGACCUUGCCACAAUUGGAAUUGGAUCUGACGAUUGAGCUGGGUUUGGACCUGUAGGAACUUUCCUUUUGAUUUCGGGGUCAAAUUUAUAACCGUUUGACUUAGCCAUUAUGGGAAUUGGAUCGGGAGAUUGUGCUGGGUUUGGACCUGUAGGAACUUUCCUUUUGAUUUCGUGAAUGAAACUGUUAUCAUUCGACUUUGCCACGGCAGGAAUCGGAUCUGGAGAUUGUGCUGGGUUUGGACCUGUAGGAACUUUCCGUUUGAUUUCGUGAAUGAGACUGUAAUGAUUUGACCUUGCCACAAUUGGAAUUGGAUCUGGCGAUUGAGCUGGGUUAGGACCUGUUGGAACUUUCCUUUUGACUUCAUGGUCAAAUUUAUAACUGUUUGACUCAGCCAUUAUGGGAAUUGGAUCGGGAGAUUGUGCUGGGUUUGGACCUGUCGGAACUUUCCUUUUGAUUUCGGGGUCAAAUUUAUAACCGUUUGACUUAGCCAUUAUGGGACUUGGAUCGGGAGAUUGUGCUGGGUUUGGACCUGUCGGAACUUUCCUUUUGAUUUCGUGAAUGAAGUUGAAAUGAUUCGACCUUGCCACAAUUGGAAUUGGAUCUGGCGAUUGAGCUGGGUUAGGACCUGUUGGAACUUUCCUUUUGACUUCAUGGUCAAAUUUAUAACUGUUUGACCUAGCAAUUAUUGGAAUUGGAUCGGGAGAUUGUGCUGGGUUUGGACCUGUAGGAACUUUCCUUUUGAUUUCGUGAAUGAAGUUGAAAUGAUUCGACCUUGCCACAAUUGGAAUUGGAUCUGGCGAUUGAGCUGGGUUUGGACCUGUAGGAACUUUCCUUUUGAUUUCGUGAAUGAAGUUGAAAUGAUUCGACCUUGCCACAAUUGGAAUUGGAUCUGGCGAUUGAGCUGGGUUUGGACCUGUAGGAACUUUCCUUUUGAUUUCGUGAAUGAAGUUGAAAUGAUUCGACCUUGCCACAAUUGGAAUUGGAUCUGGCGAUUGAGCUGGGUUUGGACCUGUAGGAACUUUCCUUUUGAUUUCGUGAAUGAAAUUGUUAUCAUUCGACUUUGCCACGAUAGGAAUUGGAUUUGGAGGUUGUGCUGAGUUUGGACCUGUAGGAACUUUCCUUUUGAUUUCGUGAACGAAAUUGUAAUGUUUCGACCUUGCCACAAUUGGAAUUGGAUCUGGCGAUUGAGCUGGGUUUGGACAUGUAGGAACUUUUCUUUUGACUUCAUGGUCAAAUGUAUAACCGUUUGACCUAGCCAUUAUGGGAAUUAUAUCGGGAGAUUGUGCUGGGUUUGGACCUGUAGGAACCUUCCUUUUGAUUUCGUGAAUGAAGUUGAAAUGAUUCGACCUUGCCACAAUUGGAAUUGGAUCUGGCGAUUGAGCUGGGUUUGGACCUGUAGGAACUUUCCUUUUGAUUUCAGGGUCAAAUUUAUAACCGUUUGACUUAGCCAUUAUGGGAAUUGGAUCGGGAGAUUGUGCUGGGUUUGGACCUGUAGGAACUUUCCUUUUGAUUUCGUGAAUGAAAUUGUUAUCAUUCGACUUUGCCACGAUAGGAAUUGGAUUUGGAGGUUGUGCUGAGUUUGGACCUGUAGGAACUUUCCUUUUGAUUUCGUGAACGAAAUUGUAAUGUUUCGACCUUGCCACAAUUGGAAUUGGAUCUGGCGAUUGAGCUGGGUUUGGACAUGUAGGAACUUUUCUUUUGACUUCAUGGUCAAAUGUAUAACCGUUUGACCUAGCCAUUAUGGGAAUUAUAUCGGGAGAUUGUGCUGGGUUUGGACCUGUAGGAACCUCCCUUUUGAUUUCGUGAAUGAAGUUGCAAUGAUUCGACCUUGCCACAAUUGGAAUUGGAUCUGGCGAUUGAGCUGGGUUUGGACCUGUAGAAACUUUCCUUUUGAUUUCGGGGUCGAAUUUAUAACCGUUUGACUUAGCCAUUAUGGGAAUUGGAUCGAGAGAUUGUGCUGGGUUUGGACCUGUAGGAACUUUCCUUUUGGUUUCGAGAAUGGAACUGUUUACAUCCGACUUUGCCACGGCAGGAAUCGGAUCUGGAGAUUGUGCUGGGUUUGGACCUGUAGGAACUUUCCUUUUGAUUUCGUGAACGAAAUUGUAAUGUUUCGACCUUGCCAUUAUGGGAAUUGGAUCUGGCGAUUGAGCUGGGUUUGGACCUGUAGGAACUUUCCUUUUGAUUUCGUGUAUGAGAUUGUAAUGAUUCGACUUUGCCACGAUUGGAAUUGGAUCUAGUGAUUGAGCUGGGUUUGAACCUGUAGGAACUUUCCUUCUGACUUCAUGGUCAAAUUUAUAACUUUUUGACCUAGCCAUUAUGGGAAUUGUGUCGGGAGAUUGUGCUGGGUUUGGUCCCCUGGGAACUUUCCUUUUGAUAUCGUGAACGAAAUUGUAAUGUUUCGACCUUGCCACGAUUGGAAUUGGAUCUGGCGAUUGAGUUGGGUUUGGACCUGUAGGAACUUUUCUUUUGACUUCAUGGUCAAAUGUAUAACCGUUUGACCUAGCCAUUAUGGGAAUUGGAUCGGGAGAUUGUGCUGGGUUUGAACCUGUAGGAACUUUCCUUUUGAUUUCGUGAAUGAGAUUGUAAUGAUUUGACCUAGCGACGAUUGGAAUUGGAUCUGGAGAUUGAGUUGGGUUUGGACCUGUAGGAACUUUCCUUUUGACUUCAUGGUCAAAUAUAUAACCAUUUGACCUAGCCAUUAUGGGAAUUGGAUCAGGAGAUUGUUUUGGGUUUGGACCUGUAGGAACUUUCCUUUUGAUUUCGUGAAUGAGAUUGCAAUGACUCGACCUUGCGACGAUUGGAAUUGGAUCUAGCGAUUGAGCUGGGUUUGGACUUGUAGGAACUUUCCUUUUGACUUCAUGGUCAAAUUUAUAACUGUUUGACCUAGCCAUUAUGAGAAUUGGAUCGGGAGAUUGUGCUGGGUUUGGAUCUGUAGGAACUUUCCUUUUGAUUUCGUGUAUGAGAUUGUAAUGAUUCGACUUUGCCACGAUUGGAAUUGGAUCUGGCGAUUGAGUUGGGUUUGGACCUGUAGGAACUUUCCUUUUG
rnacentral:lncRNA from 1 species